AGCAUGAUUGCCUGAUUGUGUGGUAGGAUUAUAUUUAGCUUUGUAGGAAACUGCCAAACUGUCUUUCAAAGCAGCUGCCCCAUUUUGCAUUCCCACCAGCAGU
rnacentral:pre_miRNA from 1 species